UGCAGUCGACGAUGAUCAGGAGCUUGCUUCUGUGAUUAGUGGCGAACGGGUGAGUAACACGUGAGUAACCUGCCCCUGACUCUGGGAUAAGCGUUGGAAACGACGUCUAAUACUGGAUACGACUUCCGGCCGCAUGGUCUGGUUGUGGAAAGAUUUUUUGGUUGGGGAUGGACUCGCGGCCUAUCAGCUUGUUGGUGAGGUAAUGGCUCACCAAGGCGACGACGGGUAGCCGGCCUGAGAGGGUGACCGGCCACACUGGGACUGAGACACGGCCCAGACUCCUACGGGAGGCAGCAGUGGGGAAUAUUGCACAAUGGGCGAAAGCCUGAUGCAGCAACGCCGCGUGAGGGAUGACGGCCUUCGGGUUGUAAACCUCUUUUAGUAGGGAAGAAGCGAAAGUGACGGUACCUGCAGAAAAAGCACCGGCUAACUACGUGCCAGCAGCCGCGGUAAUACGUAGGGUGCAAGCGUUGUCCGGAAUUAUUGGGCGUAAAGAGCUCGUAGGCGGUUUGUCGCGUCUGCUGUGAAAUCCCGAGGCUCAACCUCGGGCUUGCAGUGGGUACGGGCAGACUAGAGUGCGGUAGGGGAGAUUGGAAUUCCUGGUGUAGCGGUGGAAUGCGCAGAUAUCAGGAGGAACACCGAUGGCGAAGGCAGAUCUCUGGGCCGUAACUGACGCUGAGGAGCGAAAGCAUGGGGAGCGAACAGGAUUAGAUACCCUGGUAGUCCAUGCCGUAAACGUUGGGCGCUAGAUGUAGGGACCUUUCCACGGUUUCUGUGUCGUAGCUAACGCAUUAAGCGCCCCGCCUGGGGAGUACGGCCGCAAGGCUAAAACUCAAAGGAAUUGACGGGGGCCCGCACAAGCGGCGGAGCAUGCGGAUUAAUUCGAUGCAACGCGAAGAACCUUACCAAGGCUUGACAUACACCGGAAACGGCCAGAGAUGGUCGCCCCCUUGUGGUCGGUGUACAGGUGGUGCAUGGUUGUCGUCAGCUCGUGUCGUGAGAU
rnacentral:rRNA from 1 species